CUUUUUUCAGAGUGCGUUUCGUCGCUCCCUCGCUCCCUCUAUCUAGAACAUUCUUCCAGCUAUCGAUACGGCGAAGUGGCGAACCAUAGCUCCUGUAUUGUUCAGUCUAUCUUCACUUUUAGUUUUGAGAGUUGAGGGUUUCAGUCUUAUUCUUGAGGGUUUCACUUGAGGGUUUCAGUCUUAUUCUUGAGGGUUUAGAGUUCUUCUCUUCAGCCUUCAUUGAUCUUUCUUCAAAGUACGCUUUCCUCCUUCCCUCCCUCCCUCGCUCCCUCUAUAUGGAACAUUCUUUCAGCCAUCGAUUGAUCAGUUUUAACAAGGCGCAUUUUAGAUCCUGUAUUGUUCAAUCUUUCUUCACUUUCAGUCUUGAAAGUUGAGAGUUUCAGUUUAUUCUUGAGGGUUUCAUUCUUGAAGGUUUCAGUACCUAUAGAUCCAUAAUCAUUCUCUCUGCUACUGUACACACCCCCUCUCACCGAAACCCUGCAAUGGCUGUGAUACCUUUAAUUCCGUUUACCACUUUCAUUGAAGAGAGAUGUCCACACCCCAUAGAAGGAAGAGUGAAUGUCCCAGAAAACUUCUUAAUCGACGAGAAAUUUCUCAUGGUCGGUCCAAUGUUAUGGGAGAAUCAUUUUGCAUGGGUCUAUGAAGGGAGGUAGCAAAACCACCCUGUGGUCGUAAAGAUCAUGAAGCAAGACUUGGUUCAUGUGGCUGCUAACAAUUUCCAGAAAGAGAUCAUCAUGCUAUCUGAAGUUCAGCAUGAUCUCAUAGUGCAGUUCAUUGGAGCAUCCGACCAUGCUCCAUUUGUUAUUUUAACCGAGAAAAUGGAAGGAGGAACUUUGGAAAACUACCUCAAAACAUUUAGACCCAGUCAGUUGGAUCCUCGGAGAGCGCUAGAAUUGGCUCUUAAUAUGUCUUGAGGUAUGAGUUUUCUACAUGAGAGGGGAAUCAUUCACAAGGAGUUGCGACCUGAAAAUGUUUGGUUAAGCUUAGACCAUGAGAAACUCAAAUUGGACUUUGGGGUGGCUAGAGAGGAGUCUCUCCAAGCAAAAAUUGACACUCGGAGUGCAGCAUUACCCUGGGUCGCUCGGGAGUUGCUUCAGCAGAGUGUGCAUAGUUGUGACACUGAUGUAUACAGCUUUUCGAUCUGUUUGAGGGAGGUUCUUACGAAUAAAGAACCGUUUAAGAAAGCGAAGAAGGAUUAUUUGGGGGUAUUGCAGGCUGAAUGUCCUAGUGUCAGGAAGAUACCCAAGAGGUAUCCAAAUGUGGUAAAAAGUCUGUAUUCGCAUUGCUUGAGUGUUUGGAAUCCUUCCAAACGCCCCGACUUUUCGGAUAUCACGAAGACAUUGGCCCAAGCAUCUAAGCAUCUCUCUUCUCGUCUUGCUGAGUUCACUUCUGCAUCCAGUACCAGCUGAUGCGAGGGCAAUAAGGAUCAAUGACAACAUGGAUGACUCACUUGCUCGUGGAUUUAGAAGUUCCAGCUUUUCUUGCUGCUUCCAUGGACAAGACUAAAUCCGAACUUUUUACAGCUUUUCUUUUAGCAUAUGGGUGGUAGAGCUAUGAAAUAGGAGUCAAACAGUGGAUAAAGACAAGUCCCAAUGGUCAAGCUAAUGGACAGUGAUAGAGACUGUAAUAGCUGAUGUUUGAGUCCUCCCACAUAGAAGAGGACACAGAGAGUGACAAAAAUGUCUGUUUACUUGGAUAUAAAAGGAUCCCAAAGUGGGACCAAGAGAUCUCGACCCUCUUCCCUUUGUUCUUUUCAUCAUGUCCUUAUAGUAUAUAAAUGCGAAGGCACUGUACUGUUGAAAGGGCGAUAGCCUUCCUUCUAUUGACACUAUAAACACAGUAAAAUCAAUGCCACAGGACCACAGUUACACAAUUUGGCAAGAAGAAAGAGCCAAUGGUCAAAAAGGGGUGGAAACAAGCCUUUGUGAGUCAGGGUUUUAAAACAAGGAAUGGGGUCCAAUCGAUUCUGAUCUGGUUCUAUUUUAGAUAGGUCGGAAUCGGUUAGGAAUCUAUUGGAAUUGAUCAGAGUCCAUCUGAACCCAAGAAACUCAGAGUGGAUCUGCUGUUUCAGUCUUUCAGAGUGGCAAAAAUGGAGAUUGGACUUUGUUGAUUUUGAUUUAAACCAAUUGAUUUGUCUGAUGCAAUUUUAAUUUCUAAAUCUCUGUUCUAAGGGUGUCAAUCAGUCGGUGUACUCUAAUUUUUGUAUGCCUUAUAAAUAGAUUGUUAGUUGUUUGCC